rnacentral:misc_RNA from 1 species
AACGCAUAUUGCGCCCGAGGCCUCUGGCCAAGGGCAUGUCUGCCUCAGCGUCGGGUUAAUACUCGCCCCCCCUCUUCUCACGAAGAACGGGCGGAUCUGGCCGUUCCAGCGAUCUGUAACCAGAGAGCUGGAUCAGCCGAAGAACAGAGGCUAACCAAGGACCCGUCAAGGGCCGCAACUGGGUGGGCAGCUCACGCUUGCUAAAUCAUCUUGGUUGUUGGUCUGGGACUUUGUUUGUUCGGCCCAAAUCAGGAACCCAAUUCUAUUUUCUCGACCUGAGCUCAGGCAAGAACACCCGCUGAACUUAA